UGGGCUACAUGAGACCCUGCUCCCCAAAAACAAUAAGAGAAAAAUCUGCAACAUAACCAGACAGGACUGUAAUCAUAGCAUGCAAAAGAAUGUGACAGGAGACUUGAGAUCUGUCUGAGUUACACAGCCAAUUGGUCAAUUUAUCAAAAUUCUGACUUUGUCUCAAAAUCAAAAUUAAAAAUAACUGGAGAGUAUCUCAGUGGCAGAGUGCUGGUCUCCCGUGGGCAAGGCCUAGGGUCAAUCCAAAAUAGCAAAUAACAAUAAAACAAAAUAACAAUACAAAUAAAAUACAAAAUAACAAUAAUGAAAAUUUUUAAAUACUAUUGAAUUCCAUACAAAAUUGCCAUGACCAGACCAGAUCUAUAUCAAUGUGUGAGCAGACAGUCAGGUCAUAGCUAGGCACCUAUGCUUCAUGUCCUGUACCACAAACCACAUCAAGGAGCUAAAUUGUCACCUUUCUCCAACAACCUUCCACAUUCACCAGGACUUGUGUCCUUCAGGUCCUACAGUGUAAGUCUCAGCCCCGCCUGGACAAAGCUUGCCGCCAGCAACUUAUGUGGUAGUUCUGAAUCCCAAUAGAAAAUCAAGUCCAGCCAGACACAACACAGUCAGACUCCUGACUCCCUGGUCACAAGGGUAAUCUUUCCCAGGUGCCUCCCUGGAACUCAUCAGAGCUGAAGCACGGGCCCCCUGAGUUCCCCCAAUGAAGGGAAUCGAAACAUAUCCAACCGAACACUAGGUAUUUCUUUUCAAACAUAUUUGACAUUCCUGGGUAUACAUCCCUAUAAAGGAGGCUUCAGACCCUUCAAGACAUCUGCAGCUCAAAGGAUGCAUUUAUUUCUAGAACUGGAAGGUGAACUGGGUGCUUAGUCAGAGUACACAAGCAGGAAUAGGGCUCCCCUUCUACCCAAGUUAGUCACUCACCUCUCCCAAACUCAUAACAACCCAGCCCUAAUGACAGUGAAACAAAGCACACUGUCCAGCCAACCACGUAAGUUCUGAAAGUCUGCAAAGCGAUGGAGAAAAGCGCCGGAUCCUUUUCUUUUGGUGUCCAAAGCAACAGAUGACUUCGUAGACACAUGGACCUCGAUCAUAUUCUACUGACAGUCCUUGCUUCUGUCCUACCCAGGUGCGUGGAGCACGGCGGGCGGGCAGGUAGGCAGGCAGGCGGGCCACACCUGUGCACUUGGCUGAUAGAAGGGGACAUGGGGCACUGCCUUGUACACCACUGCAUGGUGGUUUCUUGCUACAGUGAGACAAACCACACAUUUUGGGAAACAAGAAUUUAUUUCUGGAUAUUUCCGCGUUUCAUUCUAAUGUAGCACAGAAGGAGGCAGAAUUCACUUAGGGUUAGAAGAUAAUGUUUAAAAUAACCUACUUGCUCUUUAGCAUCUACCAGCCCAGCAGGUGUGUUUCCUGUACCACACAUAGUCAAGGCUCAAACCCCAAAUCCUGCCACUUUAAGAAAGAACAGGAUCUCAGUAUAUAGCCUAGGUUAACUCAAACUCACUAUCCUCCUGCCUCAGCCUCCUCGAUGCUGGGAGUGCAGGUGAUUACCUCUACCCAGAAAGAUUCUGUCAACUUCUGCCCUAUACAUAGAAAAUAAAAGGACAAAUGUAUAUGAAAACAUAUUUAGGAUAUUAAAAACAAGGAAUUUAAAACAUCAUUGAAAUAACAAAAUAUCAAACCCAAAAGCUGAUUCCACCUGUUAAGGACAGAUCAAGAAAAACCUUGGCAAUCUGCAGAAGUACUGGGUUCAUAUGCUAAGCCUCAAAGAAGGUCACAAGGACACCUUGCUGCCCUGUACCACCUCUAAGCCUUAUGAAAUACAAACUGAGAAGUACCUCAUUCCAGAAGAGAGAUUU
rnacentral:lncRNA from 1 species